UGGUGGAGUGAUUUGUCUGGUUAAUUCCGAUAACGAACGAGACCUUAACCUGCUAAAUAGCCAGGCCGGCUCUCGCUGGUCGCCGGCUUCUUAGAGGGACUAUCGGCUCAAGCCGAUGGAAGUUUGAGGCAAUAACA
rnacentral:rRNA from 1 species